rnacentral:rRNA from 1 species
CCUACGGGAGGCAGCAGUGGGGAAUUUUGGACAAUGGGGGCAACCCUGAUCCAGCAAUGCCGCGUGUGUGAAGAAGGCCUUCGGGUUGUAAAGCACUUUUGUCCGGAAAGAAAUGGCGCUGGUUAAUACCCGGCGUUGAUGACGGUACCGGAAGAAUAAGCACCGGCUAACUACGUGCCAGCAGCCGCGGUAAUACGUAGGGUGCGAGCGUUAAUCGGAAUUACUGGGCGUAAAGCGUGCGCAGGCGGUUUGGUAAGACAGGCGUGAAAUCCCCGAGCUCAACUUGGGAAUGGCGCUUGUGACUGCCAGGCUAGAGUAUGUCAGAGGGGGGUAGAAUUCCACGUGUAGCAGUGAAAUGCGUAGAGAUGUGGAGGAAUACCGAUGGCGAAGGCAGCCCCCUGGGACGUCACUGACGCUCAUGCACGAAAGCGUGGGGAGCAAACAGGAUUAGAUACCCUGGUAGUCCACGCCCUAAACGAUGUCAACUAGUUGUUGGGGAUUCAUUUCUUCAGUAACGUAGCUAACGCGUGAAGUUGACCGCCUGGGGAGUACGGUCGCAAGAUUAAAACUCAAAAGAGUAGUAGGCGNGNGAGAGACGACGACGACGACGAGGAGGAGGAGG